rnacentral:rRNA from 1 species
AUGGCGUCUCGUCGAGGGAGGCUGCCAUGGAGCACGGUAGCUGCAGCUGCACGAAGGCCUCCAUUUCUCCAGCUACAGAUUUAUACCAGCAGAGACUCUGGGGAAAGGUCACACUGUGAAGCCAUGGAGCCAACGAGUCUACCGAUAAGAUUAUUAGAGAAAAUCACGGAUAAUUUCUCUGAGGAGCGACUACUUGGCCAAGGUGCAUAUGGAAAAGUUUACAGGGGUGUGUACAACGACGGACAAGAGAUUGCUGUGAAGCUGCUCCAUAACAACAUGCAAACAAUUGACGAUGAACAAUUCAUACACGAGUUUGAUAACCUUAUGAUGCUAAACCACCCAAACAUUGUACGGUUAGUUGGUUACUGCUAUGAAACACAACGUCAGCAUAUGGACUUCGAAGGGAGAACUGUUUUUGCUGAGACAACAUAUAAAGCACUUUGCUUUGAGUAUAUGACCAAGGGGAGCCUUCAAAACCAUCUAUCUGAUGAAUGCAAUGGACUUGAUUGGCAAACACGUUACAAAAUUAUCAAAGGGGCUUGUGAAGGUUUAAAAUAUCUUCAUGAAGGAUUCAAGGAACCAUUUUACCAUUUGGAGAUAAAACCAGACAACAUGCUUCUAGAUGAAAACAUGACCCUAAAACUUGCAGAUUUUGGUUUGUCCAAGUUCUACGACGGACGACAAACCUGCAGGGUGACACAAAGUCCUAUUGCAGGAACUAUGUAA